CACACUGAGAAAUGAGUACGGGUGGUGCCUUCUCCUGUCACGUUCCCACUCCUGCCCAUCUCCAUCAGUACAUUUAGAGAAGCAUCGUCCUUACUCCUGUAACGCUGGCUUGAAUUCUUGUAUAAUUCUGCCAUCAGUAAAGGUCCAGUGAUUGUUUUCAUUCUCGAUAGCCUCCAAAUGAAGAUUGUAGCCUCAUAGCCCUCGCUAACCUGAGUGAUUCUGAAACUACACAAGCUGCAUUUGGGAGAAGGAGAAGUGUCUGGGAAGGGGCCCCGAAGAGAGGAAGAAGAACAGACGGAGACCAGGGGGAACUGGGAAGGAGCAAGUGCGGAGGCGAUCCUGAAGCUGCUGAGGAAGGAAGAUGGGUGAGCUCGCCUCAAGCUCUUUUGCUGCAGAAAUGCACGGAAAAUAUGAGAGGAUCCUGAAAGAAUUCUCUGGCAGAGAGCACAUCUUGUUUUCGGCCGGCAUUUGUUCGUCGUCGUCGUCGUCACUACCUACAUUCCCCCGCCGUGUUCACAUAUGAAAACAAUUAUUUCUCAGUUCAGGAAGUCGGUUUUAAUCGUUAGUUUGGCUUCAAAGGAUCCAGCACCCUUUACAAGGUCAGACUAGCUCCAAAGACAGCUAGGCAGAAACUCUGGCCUGGGAGUAAGCUGAGCUUUCCUGGUAGGCAACUGCUUAGAACUUGUGCUUGAGUCCUGGAAAUGAGGAAGAUGUCCUAUCUGAGGUGGAAGGGAAGAGUUCAUCCCUGAGUGCUGGAGAGACGGUCUCAGAGAAACAACUUCCCUCGGUCUCACCUGCACUCGGUAUUCAACAAGUUCCACUGGAGAGACUCGAGCCCCACACAGGGGUCAGGGCCCUGAUUUCUUGCCCCAGAUGUGUGACCCUAGGCAAAUCCAUCAGAAUCUAGGAAUUUCUAUUUACUCAGGUGUAUGUAGGGUUUCAACCAGUCCUUCUGCUAAGCAUAAAUACCUUCUGUUUUCCUUAUUGGCUCUGCACCAUGACAACUGUAAAUUAAUCUUUAUCUUCAGACAGCAAUAGAAUUAGACGCAAUAUGAGCAUUUUGCUUUGAUGGAUAUAACAGAAAGCCUUCACAUCUGUGCACGUGGUAGGGGUUAAUAUAAUGGAGAGCCCUACACACCAGGGUCUUUCAGAUUAUAGUGGGCAAAAGAAUCAGCUCAUUGAAAAUGCAUUGAGAGAUUGGCCCUGAGAAUCAGCGCAGACAGCUGCACCAUGUGGGUCAGGUCUGGAGGGGAUACUUACAGACAUCUGAGCCUUGGCUGGGCACCCAGGCUGUCCCCGCACAGCUGGGCCUGCUCUUCCUACCCAACUUAAGAGAUUUUGCUGCUGCUUCUAACAGUUAGGAAACCAGCUUGGAAGGCUUGACUCUGCAAGGGAGGGGCCACCUGGCCCAGGUUAACAGCCAGCUAGAGUGCUAAAGAGGGAAAUAAAAAUUAAGAACAUA
rnacentral:lncRNA from 1 species